GCAGUAUUUCUGUGGCACAAUCAAUAGAGCAUUCUGCUGCAGACUGAAAGGUUGGUGGUUCAAUACCACCCAGUUGUU
rnacentral:tRNA from 1 species